rnacentral:rRNA from 1 species
AGGGAAUCUUCCGCAAUGGACGAAAGUCUGACGGAGCAACGCCGCGUGAGUGAUGAAGGUUUUCGGAUUGUAAAGCUCUGUCAUCUGGGACGAUAAUGACGGUACCAGAUGAGGAAGCCACGGCUAACUACGUGCCAGCAGCCGCGGUAAUACGUAGGUGGCAAGCGUUGUCCGGAAUUAUUGGGCGUAAAGCGCGCGCAGGCGGCUGUUUAAGUCUGGUGUAUAAUCCUGGGGCUCAACUCCGAGUCGCACUGGAAACUGGACGGCUUGAGUGCAGAAGAGGAGAGUGGAAUUCCACGUGUAGCGGUGAAAUGCGUAGAGAUGUGGAGGAACACCAGUGGCGAGGGCGACUCUCUGGGCUGUAACUGACGCUGAGGCGCGAAAGCGUGGGGAGCAAAC